rnacentral:lncRNA from 1 species
CAGUUUUUCCUCUGUUUGUCCUUCAGUCAUCAGCCUAGGGUAGGAUUACUUUCAUCUGCUAGAGGCAGGAAACAAAUGAACCAAUGUACUGAGGAGAAUAUUGUAAUCCUUCCUUCCAUAUUCAACUUCGGUAUGGAGCCAAAGAAGUUAAAACCUGGUAACAUUCAUUUAGGUAUGGUCAUUGGUGAUGAAGAAUCCCACCAUGUGCUAAUUAAAUCAAAUACCCAUUCUCCAGUGUAGCUUAUUCACUCUCCAUUUAACUCCUGGUUACAUCCGUACCUUGAGCUAAAUACCAGCCUGAGAUCUGGAGAUCACGUCUGCUGUGUGUACUGGUAGCAUGCAAGCUCUUUUUCCCAUCAGUCUGCAUUUUUACUAUUUUAUCUGUCAGAAGUCUUUGGUGAAAGGAGUGUAAGGAAUCCACUCCUAGUUCUAGCAGCAGGGCCUGCUCCUUCCUUCCUAACCAACACACAGGAAAUUGAUAAGAGAGCCUGAUAGAAAUGUAUGGACUCGUUUAACUUUCUGGCAAUUUGAAAC